rnacentral:rRNA from 1 species
CUUGCCGUAAACGAUGUAUACUUGGUGUAGCCGGACUCAACCCUGGCUGUGCCGUAGCUAACGUGUUAAGUAUACCGCCUGGGGAGUACACUCGCAAGGGUGAAACUCAAAAGAAUUGACGGGGACCCGCACAAGCAGUGGAGCAUGUGGUUUAAUUCGAUGCAACGCGAAGAACCUUACCCAGACUUGACAUACAGUUGACCGCUCUAGAGAUAGAGCUUUCCUUCGGGACAAUUGAACAGGUGC